UCCAGGGAUGGCAGAUGGGCUUCAGCCCACCUACUGACUCUGAUUCUCAGUCGUGGCUCCUGGCACACUUGUGUUGAGAAGGAUUCUGAGGCCAACACUCAGCUCAGAGACUACAGUUCAUACAAUGGUUGGAGCUCCAGCAGCCAUAUUGGACCACGAAGACACUCUGAGGGCAGAAACUACUUGCUACAGACAGUGGAGCAGAAAUACGUUGGGAUCCGCAAUGAAGUCAAGAGGAGCAUCCUGAACCCAACCAGAAGCUCAGCCCAACCACGCCCAGCCAAACCCACUAAAGAUUAAGCAACUGCAGCCAAACUACUGUCUCAUGGGUAUGAAGUUAAAAGGUUGUUGAUGUAAACCACUGAGAUUGUGGGGUUGUUUGUUAUGCAGCAUCAUCACAGAAGUGGCUGACUCAUACACCAUCCAUUCAGAUAGCUGUGCAGGAAACCUGAAUGCCACCCUUCUCUCCUGCCUCUCCCGCAUGACUCAUAUCCAGUCCCCAAGCCCUAAAUGCUCUUCCAAGCCCUCCCAGCCUCUCCAACCCUUCUACCCUAGACCAGGCCACAUCUCUCUGCACUAGAGCUCUUUUCCAGUGGCCUUCCUGCUUUUAAACCACCCCUUUCUCUCUAGAUGCCGGUGAGGUGUCUGAAGUGCACAUCAGAUCAUGGCCCUCUCUCACCUGUGAUCCUUCUGGGGGUUCAGUUGGGGCAUGACCAGGGACUUCUGUGAAUACAUGCCAUCCCUCUUCCUGGGAUGCUCUCCACUCUGAACCUAAUCCAGCUCCAGUUCCCACCGUGCAGAGCUGGUCAUUACAGUGUAUUGAGAAGAGGAAGUUCAUUUUUAUAUUUAAUCCACGUCUAGAGAAUCAGGGAAGAGAAAGAAGAAAAUGGAAAACACAUGCUGUCCCUCUGACUGCAGAGAUCCAGUUCUUGUUAUUCUUUGGUACUGUCGGCGUCCUCAAGCUGUGCCACCCCUGGGAGCUCCAGCCACACCCAGCUGCCAGCACCAGCCCAGCUGAGCUGAGCGAUGUCUCUGGCUAAGCCCGUUCCACCCACACUCAGGCGUGGCCAUCAGAAAUGUACAAAUGUUGUUCAACAGUGCACAGUCGUGCAAAUACCCCGCGCCCUCGCCCCCUGGGCUGGGGGUGGUGGUGUAGCUCUGUGGACCCGUCCCAGAUGCCCCAGCGUGCCUGAGCUCAGCUGCCCACCUUGGUCACUGACCAACCCCACCCCCUUCGUCACCUCCCUCCCUCUCUGUCCCCCUGCACACAACCCUACCGCUCUGUCCUGGGAUCACCUCCCAAAUAAACGAUUUGCCCUCGAAACGUUUGUUUCAGGGUCUGCUCCUGGAGAGCCCAACCUAAGGCAGAGACCAAAUCCCCAAACAGUUCAAGAGCAGCACCAGAAAGUUCUAGAAUCAAGAGAGAAACGUGUGAUUAAGAUGGAAGGGGGAGGUGAGAAUCCACAGAGUUCUGAGCGAUUUCUCAGCGAAGGAGCCGAUCAUCUGGGAUUCCCAUGGCUCAAGGGGAUCCCCGAGAUUCAAAUAUAUCCUUCUAGACACUCCAGGGGGUUGAAAGGAGAAAGGGACCCAUGCGUCUGCCCUGGAGGAUCAGUUUAAACGCCCUCCCCAUGAGGGGCCCAGAUCCCUAGCACAGGCCCAGCCCACCGAGCCAGGUCCAGUCAGCCAGGUUAGGGGAGACCCUCACGAGCCUCCGUGGGCACAGCACUCACUGGAAACCAGAAGGGACAGGUGCCAAACGCGGGACAGUGUAGCCCCAGAGUCAGGGGGUCACGGGAAGGAAGGAGGCCACGUCCUGUCCUGGUCCCUGUGCAGGGGGGCCAGCGGGCUGCCCUCGCCCUGUCUCCUCUCCACAGAGAGACGACCCCCUUGCUGGGUGGGGUCAGAACACCCCCCAAUGCCUGCACCCCAGGGCACAGCAGGCUGGCAAUUGGCAGAAAGGCCUCCUCACCAGGCGCAUCCAUAGCUCGAGAGCAGCCGUCAUCUGACGGAGAAGUGAGAGCCUAAAACUGUCCUCUAUGUAUGAAAUAGAUAACUAAUAAGGACCUACUGUAUAGCACAGGGAACGCUCCUCAGUACUCUGUAAUGGCCUAUGUGGGAAAAGAAUCUAAAAAAGAGUGGAUAUAGGUAUAUGUAUAACUGAUUCACUUUGCUGUACGGCAGAAACUAACACAACAUUGUAAAUCAACUAU